CACGUAGGGUCCGAGCGUUGUCCGGAAUUACUGGGCGUAAAGCGCGCGCAGGCGGUCUGGUCAGUCGAUGGUGAAAGCCCCACGCUCAACGUGGGAAGGUCCGUCGAGACGGCCAGACUGGAGGCAGGGAGAGGUCGGUGGAAUUCCGGGUGUAGUGGUGAAAUGCGUAGAGAUCCGGAGGAACACCAGAGGCGAAGGCGGCCGACUGGACCUGACCUGACGCUGAGGCGCGAAGGCGUGGGGAGCGAACGGG
rnacentral:rRNA from 1 species